GUUGUAGCUGAGUGGAGCUCCGCCAAUGUAUCCUGUUUACUUUGAUCACCAAAGUGCAACCAAAUUUUCUUCUGUGUUUGUGAGAUAUCUCCGGUGGAACUGGCAGAGCAGACCCAGCUCUACGUCAUGAUGAUCACAGUCAGGAGCGUGCUGAGGGAGAGUUUUGAUUAAGUGAAUUAAAGCGAAGCACAGCUCUGGCAGACGGCACAGGCAUGCUGUCCUGGGGGAAAAAUGGAGGUUUCUGGCAGCAUUUUCAAGAACAACAAAACAACAAUUGUUCUUCCCGCUUCGCUCUGCUGUUGGAUUCAUUGACGACAGAUCAAAUGUACGUUGGUGGUCUGGAACAUUAACAAAUCCCCUUAAUUAUAUCCAUCAAAACGCAGGAAGUAUCAGGGGGAAGUGAUCUCUCAUUUAGUGAGUUUCUGAGUUACUCUGAACCUGCUGUGACGACGUCUGUGAGGCUGCAACGAUUCAAGAGCUGGCGCUUCCUCCAGGAGAGGGAAUUCAUUUAUUUAGGCAUUUUAAAACGGAGAAGUUUCAGACAUCCGACUAGAAAUACGUUUUUAUGUUACGAGAUCUAACAAAAAACCAGGCCAGCACUCAGUUGAGAGUUUAGUUAUGAAGAACACUUUCAUAGAGAAUUCAUACCUGAAAGUUUAUCCAGUCCUUUAACUUUGGCAGAAUAUUUGUACUUGUCCAUAUUAUGUUCAGUUUCCAGCAUUUGAUGUUUGAUGUCAUAUGUAUGUGUUAUUAUCCGACUCAUCAGGAUGUGCAGGUUUCUACAGCUUUGCAAAAAAUGUUGAGGCGAUCUAAGAAUGCAUUGCAGCAAUUUCCUAAACAUAUUUUUUAACUAAUUUAUUUAACUAAAACUUCAAGUAAAUGAUGCAUUUUUGGAGGAAAUUAGAACAAGUUGUUGAGGCAGCAGCUGUUUUUUUACUGUAUAAAUGACUGUAGCCAGACAGCAGCUAGAAGUGCAAUAAAAAACACUUUGCAACAAAAA